rnacentral:misc_RNA from 1 species
ACCGACGAUCACGACUAUGACGUCAAGAUGCGCUCGGUAAAGCGGUUCCUUGAGGAUGGCGACAAGGUCAAGGUGACCCUGCGUUUCCGCGGCCGCGAGAUGGCCCACCAGAAUCUGGGGAUGGAACUGCUGCACCGCGUCCGCGACGAGGUGGGCGAGGCCGGCAAGGUCGAAUCGAUGCCCAAGCUCGAAGGCCGCCAGAUGGUGAUGAUGAUCGCGCCGCGCUAGGCGCCCGCACCCGCGCCCCACGGCCCGCCUGAUCGGCGGGCCUUUUUCAUGGGGCAGA